UUCCUCCGGCUGCACUUGUGCUCGGGUUAGUUAUUCAGUCAGGUUUUUACUUCAAGUAUAAAGCUUGUAUCGGAAUUCGCUAUUGAACUUUGCUGCCUUGACACAAAGUUUGACAAAAUGGCGUGGAAUUUGAGAUCGCCUACGUUGCUCGCGCUGAUCAUUUUGUUGUUCUUUCAAAUCUUUUCAACAAUUCAUGGAUACUGUGGCGGCUUCAAGAGGGAGUGCGAAACAUGCACGGACAAGAGGUUUGAAAGUGCAGGAAGUUUAAUCAAAAAGCUGCCUGAUAUUGCGGAGAAGAAAGUCUGUGCAAAAAAGUGUCUCAAACUGGCUGACUGUCUGUCGUUCAACUUCAACGAGGGAACGAAAGAGUGCGAGUUGAAUGAUGCAACCUCGACUUCCUUGAAAACAGAUUUGGGAUGGGAGUACUUUAAAAAGAUUCCGUCCGCGCAACGUGACGCGCCCAACACCUUGUCGCAUCUGAUGUAAAACAAGAAGAAGUUACUUCCACAUGAAGGAUCUACUGACAACUUAACCGUACAGGCCAGAUGAGGAAGACAUAAAUUCCCUGCACAAAUUCAACUUCUGAAACCUCAAUACAACAUUACAUACGUGUUUCACUAUUUGUCCCUGGGCAGUACGGCGUGACGCAUCCUGAGUUGCAUGUAAUCAGCGGUUAUGCUUGCCUUUAUUGUGCUGCACACAAACAAUCAAUUUUUGGGGGUCUCAUUUUUCUUUCUUCGUAAAUAGAUUCGCCAUCUACAUGUACUGGUGAAGGCACACAGUGGGGUCUACCGAAUGACGACAGUUGGUUGUCCAGAUUUUUGGGCCUGUUGUAAAUUUCGGAAAAAAUAUUAGGCCGCGCCACAUGUACAUACCGAUUUUGACGAUUCCUGGUCGACUUUACAUCCAAUUAGUUGUUAAAUAUUUGCGUGCUCAGUCGUCCCUGGUCAGAUUGUCUGUUAUACUGCUGAAAUAAAAAUUUGUCUGUGUACUGCUGAAAUAAAUGUAACUGUAAAGUACACGUA